rnacentral:sRNA from 1 species
GUGGAGGUAGAAGGCCCACGGGUCGUGAACUUCUUUUCUUGUAGAAGAAGCAAUGACGGUAUCUAGAGAAUAAGCAUCAGCUAACUCUAUGUCAGCAGCCGUGGUAAUACAAAGGAUGC